CCUACGGGAGGCAGCAGUGGGGAAUAUUGCACAAUGGGGGAAACCCUGAUGCAGCGACGCCGCGUGGGUGAAGAAGUAUUUCGGUAUGUAAAGCCCUAUCAGCAGGGAAGAAAAAGACGGUACCUGACUAAGGAGGCCCGGCUUACUACGUGACAGCAGCCGCGGUUAUACGGAAGGGGCAAACGGUAUCCGGAUUUACUUGGUGUAAAGGGGGAGUAGACGGCCGCGCAAGUCUGAAGUGAAACCCCAGGGCUCCACCAUGGAACUGCGUUGGAACCUGUGCAGCUGGAGUGCAGGAGGGGCAAGCGGAAUUCCUGGUGGAGCGGUGAAAUGCGUAGAUAUUAGGAGGAACAACGGUGGCGAAGGCGGCUUGCUGGACUGUAACUGACGUUGAGGCUCGAAGGCGUGGGGAGCAAACAGGAUUAGAGACCCUAGUAGUC
rnacentral:rRNA from 1 species